rnacentral:rRNA from 1 species
UACGGAGGGUGCAAGCGUUAUCCGGAUUCACUGGGUUUAAAGGGUGCGUAGGCGGAUAGGUAAGUCCGUGGUGAAAUCCUGCAGCUUAACUGCAGAACUGCCAUGGAUACUAUCUAUCUUGAAUGUCGUGGAGGUUAGCGGAAUAUGUCAUGUAGCGGUGAAAUGCUUAGAGAUGACAUAGAACACCCAUUGCGAAGGCAGCAAACUACGCGAUAAUUGACGCUGAUGCACGAAAGCGUGGGGAUCAAACAGG